AGCGAACGCUGGCGGCAGGCCUAACACAUGCAAGUCGAACGAACUCUUCGGAGUUAGUGGCGGACGGGUGAGUAACACGUGGGAACGUGCCUUUAGGUUCGGAAUAACUCAGGGAAACUUGUGCUAAUACCGAAUGUGCCCUUCGGGGGAAAGAUUUAUCGCCUUUAGAGCGGCCCGCGUCUGAUUAGCUAGUUGGUGAGGUAAAGGCUCACCAAGGCGACGAUCAGUAGCUGGUCUGAGAGGAUGAUCAGCCACAUUGGGACUGAGACACGGCCCAGACUCCUACGGGAAGCAGCAGUGGGGAAUCUUGGGCAAUGGGCGAAAGCCUGACGUAGCCAUGCCGCGUGAAUGAUGAAGGUCUUAGGAUUGUAAAAUUCUUUCACCGGGGACGAUAAUGACGGUACCCGGAGAAGAAGCCCCGGCUAACUUCGUG
rnacentral:rRNA from 1 species